GAUGAACGCUAGCUACAGGCUUAACACAUGCAAGUCGCAGGGUAACAUGAGGAAAGCUUGCUUUCCUUGAUGACGACUGGCGCACGGGUGAGUAACGCGUAUCCAACCUUCCCAUAACUACGGGAUAACCCGUUGAAAGACGGCCUAAUACCGUAUGAUAUCGUUUGCUGACAUCAAAUAACGAUUAAAGGUUUAGCGGUUAUGGAUGGGGAUGCGUCUGAUUAGCUUGUUGGCGGGGUAACGGCCCACCAAGGCAACGAUCAGUAGGGGUUCUGAGAGGAAGGUCCCCCACAUUGGAACUGAGACACGGUCCAAACUCCUACGGGAGGCAGCAGUGAGGAAUAUUGGUCAAUGGGCGAGAGCCUGAACCAGCCAAGUAGCGUGCAGGAUGACGGCCCUAUGGGUUGUAAACUGCUUUUAUGUGGGGAUAAAGUGCGUGACGUGUCAUGCAUUGCAGGUACCACAUGAAUAAGGACCGGCUAAUUCCGUGCCAGCAGCCGCGGUAA
rnacentral:rRNA from 1 species